UGCAGAGGAUGAAAGCGUUAUCCGAAAUGAUUGGGUGUAAAGCGUCUGUAGGUCGCUUUCUAAGUCCGCCGUCAAAUCUCAGGGCUCAACUCUGGACAGGCGGAGGAAACUACCAAGCUGGAGUACGGUAGGGGCAGAGGGAAUUUCUGAUGGAGCGGUGAAAUGCGUAGAGAUUAGAAAGAAACACGCGAAAGCACUCUACUGGGCUACACUAACACUGGAGAGAUGAAAAGCUAGGGGGAGCGAAUGG
rnacentral:rRNA from 1 species